UUAUAAUUUAUUUGAUAGUACCUUUACUUGGAUAACUGUGGUAAUUCUAGAGCUAAUACAUGCUAAAAACCUCGACUUCGGGAGGGGUGUAUUUAUUAGAUUAAAAACCAAUGCCCUUCGGGGCUCUUUGGUGAUUCAUAAUAACUAAACGAAUCGCAUGGCCUUGCGCCGGCGAUGGUUCAUUCAAAUUUCUGCCCUAUCAACUUUCGAUUGUAGAGUAGUGGUCUACAAUGGUUUCAACGGGUAACGGGGAAUUAGGGUUCUAUUCCGGAGAGGGAGCCUGAGAAACGGCUACCACAUCCAAGGAAGGCAGCAGGCGCGCAAAUUACCCAAUCCCGACACGGGGAGGUAGUGACAAUAAAUACUGAUACAGGGUUCUUUUGGAUCUUGUAAUUGGAAUGAGUACAAUGUAAAUACCUUAACGAGGAACAAUUGGAGGGCAAGUCUGGUGCCAGCAGCCGCGGUAAUUCCAGCUCCAAUAGCGUAUAUUAAAGUUGUUGCAGUUAAAAAGCUCGUAGUUGAACCUUGGAUCUGGCUGAUCUGUCCUCCUAAUCGAGCGCACGGAUUCGGCUGGAUCUUUCCUUCUGGGGAACCCUAUGCCCUUUACUGGGCGUAGUGGGGAACCAGGACUUUUACUUUGAAAAAAUUAGAGUGUUCAAAGCAGGCCUUUGCUCGAAUACAUUAGCAUGGAAUAAUAGAAUAGGACGUUGGUUCUAUUUUGUUGGUUUCUAGGACCACCGUA
rnacentral:rRNA from 1 species